UUCGGAGCCGUCGGCGUGUUCCUAGUGGCACCCACCGCCUGGGGUAUGGCACGCCCGGGCGCCGCAGGGCCCCGAGCCCUCGCUGCACUGGAGGGCCCUACCCGUCCUCGCCCAGCUCUCCGCGCCCGGCCGCUCCCGCCUCCCGAGGCCACGGCUCCGAGCCUUGCGUGCGGCGAGGCGAGAGCGCGCACCCCGCCGCCAUCUUAGGGCCGCGAUGCGGGCUGUGCGGGGCGCGCGGUCUCCCGGUCUCACCGCGGCGGCGCGCAGCGGGGAGGUCGGGGGGCCACCGCUCCGGAGCGGAGCGGCGCGGGGAUCACUCCCUGCCUACGGGGCGGGAUCACGGGCUUGUGAGCAGCAGACUGCCCGCCCUGGAAGGUGUGUGAAGGCGCGGCAGCCACUCCGCCAGAGGCGCUGAGGGCGGGUACCCUACACCUGUCCGAGGUGGCACCCAGAUCCCCAACAUGUUUAGAGGACUUGGAGAAACAUAUAAAUCCUGCUUGAUGAAUACAAUACAAUGGCCUUGAAAUAUAAAGGAAAACUGUAUUUAACACUA